rnacentral:tRNA from 1 species
GAGGCUGUGGUUCAGUGGCAGAAUGCUUGCCUAUCACGUAUGAGGCACUGGGUUCAAUCUUUAGCACCACA